ACCUUCAUAGUCCAGAGGUUAGGAUAUCUGAUUUUCACACGCUUUGAAAUCUCAGAAGACCCGAGUUCGAAUCUCGGUGAGGGUG